rnacentral:rRNA from 1 species
UACGUAGGGUGCAAGCGUUGUCCGGAAUUAUUGGGCGUAAAGAGCUCGUAGGCGGUUUGUCGCGUCUGCUGUGAAAUCCCGAGGCUCAACCUCGGGUCGCAGUGGAUACGGGCAGGCUAGAGGUAGGUAGGGGAGAAUGGAAUUCCCGGUGUAGCGGUGAAAAUGCGCAGAUAUCGGGAGGAACACCGGUGGCGAAGGCGGUUCUCUGGGCCUUACCUGACGCUGAGGAGCGAAAAGCGUGGGGAGCGAACAGG